AGUCGUAACAAGGUCUCCGUUGGUGAACCAGCGGAGGGAUCAUUACCGAGUUUACAACUCCCAAACCCCUGUGAACAUACCUAUAAUUUGCCUCGGCGGACUCAACGACGGUGCUCCGAGAAAUCGGUCGCCGCUCGCUGCCAGAGGAACCCCAAACUCUAUGUAUUCUUGUGGAUCUUCUGAGUAAAACAAAACAAAUAAAUCAAAACUUUCAACAACGGAUCUCUUGGUUCUGGCAUCGAUGAAGAACGCAGCGAAAUGCGAUAAGUAAUGUGAAUUGCAGAAUUCAGUGAAUCAUCGAAUCUUUGAACGCACAUUGCGCCCGCCAGUAUUCUGGCGGGCAUGCCUGUUCGAGCGUCAUUUCAACCCUCAAGCCCCCGGGCUUGGUGUUGGGGAUCGGCGAUAGUCGCCGUCCCCCAAAUCUAGUGGCGGUCUCGCUGUAGCCUCCAUUGCGUAGUAGCUAACACCUCGCAACUGGAACGCGGCGCGGCCAAGCCGUUAAACCCCCAACUUCUGAAUGUGACCUCGA
rnacentral:rRNA from 1 species